rnacentral:rRNA from 1 species
CCUACGGGAGGCUGCAGUGGGGAAUAUUGCACAAUGGGCGCAAGCCUGAUGCAGCCAUGCCGCGUGUGUGAAGAAGGCCUUCGGGUUGUAAAGCACUUUCAGCGGGGAGGAAGGCGUUAAGGUUAAUAACCUUGUCGAUUGACGUUACCCGCAGAAGAAGCACCGGCUAACUCCGUGCCAGCAGCCGCGGUAAUACGGAGGGUGCAAGCGUUAAUCGGAAUUACUGGGCGUAAAGCGCACGCAGGCGGUCUGUCAAGUCGGAUGUGAAAUCCCCGGGCUCAACCUGGGAACUGCAUUCGAAACUGGCAGGCUAGAGUCUUGUAGAGGGGGGGUAGAAUUCCAGGUGUAGCGGUGAAAUGCGUAGAGAUCUGGAGGAAUACCGGUGGCGAAGGCGGCCCCCUGGACAAAGACUGACGCUCAGGUGCGAAAGCGUGGGGAGCAAACAGGAUUAGAUACCCGAGUAGUC